UUCGCAAUGCCCGAAAGGGUGACGAAGCGACGCCGCGUGGGUGAGGAAGGCCUUCGGGUUGUAAAGCCCUGUCAGGAGUUAAGAAAUGUAAGUGCGCUAAUAUCGCAUUUAUUUGACAAAGGCUCCAAAGGAAGCCACGGCUAACUCUGUGCCAGCAGCCGCGGUAAUACAGAGGUGGCAAGCGUUGUUCGGAAUUAUUGGGCGUAAAGAGCACGUAGGUGGAUUUGUAAGUCAGGUGUGAAAGCCUUCUGUUCAACGGAAGAAUUGCAUCUGAAACUGCAAAUCUUGAGUGUAGGAGGGGAGAAUGGAACUUCUGGUGGAGCGGUGAAAUGCGUAGAUAUCAGAAGGAACGCCGGCGGCGAAAGCGAUUCUCUGGCCUAUUACUGACACUGAGUGUGCGAAAGCUAGGGGAGCAAACGGGAUUAGAUACCCCGGUAGUCCUAGCCGUAAACGAUGGGCACUAAGUAGAGGGGUUUU
rnacentral:rRNA from 1 species